rnacentral:rRNA from 1 species
CAUCUGGUUUUAANUNAAUACANNCACCGAGAACCUUACCNAUACCUNAANNNUANUNGAAAUUAUCCACCAAAUCNCUCACGCCCUUCGNNNCCANAUACAAGGUGGUCCAUGGUUUUCGUCAGCUCGUGCCUUGAGAUGUCAGGUUAAGUCCUAUAACGAGCGCAACCCCUACAUCCAGUUAGACAGCGGUUAAGCCGGGNACUCUGGAGAAACUGCCCACGCAAGNGGAGAGGAAAAAAAGGGAUGCCGUCAAAUCAGCACACCCCUUUCGUCCAGUGCGACACACGUGCUACAAUGACCGAUACAGAGGGCAGCCACCCUGUGAGGGGGAGCGAAUCUCGAAANCCGGUCUCAGUUCGGAUCGGAGUCUGCAACUACGACUCCGUGAAGUUGGAUUCGCUAGUAAUCGCGCAUCAGCCAUGNCGCGGUGAAUACGUUCCCGUGCCUUGUACCCACCGCCCGUCAAGCUAUGAAAGUCUGGGGUACCUUAAGUCCCGUGACGGAGAGGAUCGUCCUAGGUUUUNNCAGUGGAAAAACU